rnacentral:SRP_RNA from 1 species
GGAGGCUUCAACAGGCCUCUGGACGCCGCGUUCUAAGCACUCGAACUGCGCCUUUGCGACGUGCAGGGUUGUGACGCCAUGCUGCGUGGCAGGAACAAGUGGAAGGUCCACAGUAGGAGCUGUCCA